rnacentral:snRNA from 1 species
AAAAUUCCGGAACCGGGACGUGGC